GGGUAUGCGAAUGGUCGGUUUGGUUUUGAAUUGAAAAAACCGAACGGUUGAAAUUUUAAAAUGCAUAACCAAACCAAACCGAAAUUAAGGACAUAACCAAACCGAGGUCCAGUUUAGUUUAUUGGUUUUGAAAGAAGAAAAAGGCCUUAUUCAGAUUUAGUAUCCCAUAUAAUCCAGUUUCUAAGAAAUAUAAUGAUAAUUGCAAAACAAUUCAUUCUAAAAAAAUGUAAGAACAAUUAUCAAUCCUACAUAUUCUUAAGAAAAAUAACAAUAAAUCAACAACCCAAACAAACAAAUUGUUAAAAAAUUGCACAGAAGGAUGUUGUUUUAUGCUAAAGACUUGAUCUAUUAAACCAAAUAGAAAAAAAAACUAAAAUAACUAUAACAAUUCAAACAAAACAAUGCCCAGAAAAAUUGCAUAAAAAUUGUAACCAAAUACCCAAAAAUUAUCCUGUGACCAUUUGUGAGCAGAUUGCCAUCAAAUGGAUCCUAUUUCUUUCCACAAAUGCCUUCUCAUUUAUUAGCUUUUAUAGUUAAAUUGUCUCUAGCACCUUUAAAUUUAAACAUACUAUUUCACAAUCUUCAAGCAAAGAUUCAUCUGCAACAAAAGGCAAACGCAAUAUGUUACAUGAGCAUUCGAUGUUGGAUGAGUUCAAACGGAGAUGGUGGGACUGCAGGAGGAGUAGUUGCAAGGGGUGUGCAAACAGAGAUGAUGAGAUUUGAGAGAGGAGGUGAGGAAUUGCUGGAUUUUGAUUCAUGGAGUGAGAAACUCUUGAAGAAAGAGAUUGCUAGAUUUUAGUUUGUGGAGAUAGUAAAUUCGAUGCAAGUCAUAGGUGCCCAAAGUGCAAGAGCAGUGUUUCUCUUGAUGUUCUCACUUCUCAAUGAUGAUGACAAGAGUGAAAUUAAUCUAAAUGAUGAGGGGGAAGAUUGGGAGAGCUUGUUACCUAAUGGUAUUCCUAUAGAAGUAUGGAAGUGCCUUGGGAGGUUGGAGUAGCUUGGCUAACUAAGCAAUUGAAUGGCAUACUAAAAUCAGGAAAGGUGCCAAAUAAGUGGAGGAAGAGCACUUUAGUUCUUAUCUUAAAGGACAAAAAGAGACAUCCAAAGUUGCACAAACCACUGUGGUAUUAAACUAAUGAGUCACACGAUGAAGUUAUGCAAAAGAGUGAUUGAACGCAAAUUUAGGGAUACUACUAAGUUAUUAGGGAACUAAUUUGGCUUUAUACCUGGUAGAUAUACAACAAAACCUAUUUUUCCAUUAAGAAGGUCAAUUGAAAUUUAUAAGGAGAAGAAAAAUCUCUACAUGGUAUUCAUUGAAGAAAAGGCAUAUGAUAGACUACCGAUGGAAAUUCUUUGAUUGGUACCGGAGGAAAAAGGAAUCCAUCUCAAAUAUAUAAAUGCCACUAAGGACAUGUAUGAGGGGGCAGUCACAGAUGUAAGAACAGUAGAAGGGAACGGACGAAUUGCUAAUAACAGUGAAUUUACAUUAGGGAUUAACUUUGAGUACGUACCUAUUUACCUUAGUCACAUUCAAGAUGAUGUCCCAUGGUACAUGUUAUUUGAAGAGGAUGUUGCCUUAGUGGAUGAAACUAGUGAAAAAAUUAACCAAAAGUUGGUUGUGGAGUACUCUUGAUAGUAAGGGUUUUAGAAUAAGUAGAAGUAAUAAUAUAUGCAUUGUAAGUUUAGCUCUCAUGAAAGAUAUGGAGAUGAGAUUCGACCGGAUGAAAUUUUGGUGCCAAAAUACAACCAAUUUAAGUAUUUAGGUUCUAUCAGCCAAAAGAAUGAUGUAAUAAAUGAAAGUGUAACUCAUAGGAUUAAAACAUGAUAGAUGAUAUGAAAAAGUGCAACGGUUGUGCCAUGCGCCCAUAGGAUCCCUGGCAAAGUAAAAGGUAAGUUCUAUAAAAAUAUGAUCAAGCUAACUAUGUUGUAUGAGAGUGAAUAUUGGGCAUCUAAGGUGCAACAUACCCACAAGAUGAAUAUUGUAGAAAUACAGAUGUUAAGAUAAAUGUCCAAUAACACGAUAAUUAAUAAAAUUAGAAAUGACUAUAUCCGUUGAACAGUGCAUGUAGCACGCAUCGAGGAUAAAAUGAGAGUGAGCAAGGGUCAAUUAAGAUGGCUUGAUCAUGUCCAACAUAGAGCAUCAAAUUCUCCAAUAUGGAAGUGUAAUAAGUGAGUGGUGGAGGAGUGAGAGACCUAAUGUAAUGUGAAGGGAAGUAAUAUCAAAAUAUUUACAAUUUUUUGGAUAUUGAUGCGAAAUGGGUUCAAAUAGAGUUGCAUAGCAAAAAAAAGAAAAAUCCAUGUAGCCAACUCUAACUAGUUUGAUACAAAGUGUUAGUUGUUGUUAUUAUUGUUGUAUCAAUAGACUUGCGCAAGUAAAGGAACACUAAGAAAAAAUAGGUUAAUCAACUUAGGAUUACAGCCAACUUAUCUUUUAACUGGCUCUAUAAGAAGUCAACCAAGAAAAGAAAUUGGUUACAGACUUACCAAAGAAAUAAGGAAAACUUCUCCAAGUACAAUAUAGUAAUAUCUAUUACCUGCCACUCAAUGCUCUCACAA
rnacentral:misc_RNA from 1 species